rnacentral:misc_RNA from 1 species
CCUAGAGUUGUAGGCUUUGCCUGCUAUCUCUUACCCAUGUCUUUUGAGUACCUUCGUUUCCUCGGCGGGUCCGCCCGCCGAUUGGACAAUUUAAACCAUUUGCAGUUGCAAUCAGCGUCUGAAAAAAUUUAAUAGUUA